UUUUUUUUUUUUUUUUUUGUUCUUGAAAAACACCAUUUUAGCUGUUGAAAAUAUUGUUUAAUUGUUUUAGAGUUUUUUAUUACUAAAACAUGCCAAAUUUAACUUUAAACCAAACUUUAAUAUACUCUAACAAACAUAUUUAAGGAAGUGUUUUUCUUAAUGCCAAAUAGACCCUAAAGAAGUAGUAGCAAUUGAUUCCACAAAAUAAACAAAGGGAAAAGAAAACCAAACAAAACAAGUCUAGCAAUAUUUAUCUCCCUAGAUUCCACAUUAAAAGCAAAUCAGCAGGCAUAACCUGUAUCUCUCUCUACAUAGAGUUUUCUCAUGGCAUGAUACUUUGAAACAAGCAUUAAAAUUAAAUCAAAUUCUACCAUCUAAAAUAAUCAUCACCUUGAGAUCAUCCUCAAUCUUUGCCACUUGGGUAUGAAUGCUGUCCACAAUCUCCCUAAGAGGUGACAUGGUUGGAUACUUGGCUUCGUCCCAAAUAAACCUGGUGAGAUACGAAUCUACAGGUACACCAUCUACAGUCAAAGCACUGCUCUCCACACCAGACACCCUCUCCAAUUCCUCGAUCUGUCUCCUGAUCUUGUGAGACACUCCUUCUAUAAAGCUAUUUGA
rnacentral:misc_RNA from 1 species